UUUUAUUUAUUUUUAUAGCAAAUUUAUCUAAGUAUGUACAUAAAUGGAAUUUUCUCAAAUAAAAUAUUAAUUUUUUUUACCUUUUGAAUAAUGGUUAUACUAAAAUUAUAUUACAUUAUAGGUCUCGAACUAAAAAGAGCUAUUUAUUUAACUUUAUUAGAAGAUUCCAACUAUGUUGAAAUAUAGUUUAUAGAUAAAUAAAUAGGAGCGAAAAACUUUCAAUUUUUAAGAUAUCUAGAAGUUUAAUAAAAGCAUUGAGUGCUGAAAAAUUAUCCAAAAAAUGAUUAGGUUUUUUGAAAAUAAAAUUUUUAAUAUAAUUAUUUGGUUUUAACAAUUAAUCUUAAUGAAGUGUUAAAGAAUAAACAUUAAUUUUUUAAUAAAUUUAAUUUCUAUUAAAUUCUUUUAUCAAUCUAAAGUUAAAAUAAAUAAUGUAUAAAUAAGUAACAAAAUAAUUUAUUUUAAUUCUUAAUAUAAAUAACUAUAAUAAUUUUAUUAAUUAAAUUAGACAAAAGGAACUCGGCAAAUAUAGACUUCGACUGUUUACCAAAAACAUAGCCUUAGGCUAAUAAAUCUAAGGUGAAACCUGCCCAAUGUAGCUCUGCUGAUUAAUGGCCGCGGUACUCUGACCGUGCUAAGGUAGCGAAAUCAAUUGGCUUUUAAAUGGGGUCAGGUAUGAAUGGAAUUACGUAGUCUAACUGUCUCCUGGCUAAUUAUUUGAAAUUACUGUGUAGAUGAAAAAGUCUACAAUAAGAAAAAAGACGAGAAGACCCUUAGAGUUUUACUAAAAGUAACCUAUUUUACUAUUUACAAAAGUUUAGUUGGGGCAACUUAGGAAAAUUUUAAACCUCCUAGAUUAAUACUAAUCGUUUAUUUAAAAUUCGCAUAAACUACCUUAGGGAUAACAGCAUUAUGUAAAAAAUAAGUUUGUGACCUCGAUGUUGGACUGGGAAACUUAAGGGCUAGCCGCUCUUUAGGGAAGUUCUGUUCGAACUAAAAUUCCCACAUGAUCUGAGUUCAGACCGGCGUAAGCCAGGUCAGAUUCUAUCUUUUUAUUACAAAAGUUUAGUACGAAAGGACCAGCUCUUGAUAUUAAAAUAUAAUU
rnacentral:rRNA from 1 species